rnacentral:rRNA from 1 species
UCUAUUGAGAAUUUGAUCCUGGUUCAGGAUGAACGCUGGCGGCGUGGAUAAGGCAUGCAAGUCGAACGGAACAAUUUGCGAUUACAUCAAGAAUUGUUUAGUGGCGAACGAGUUAGUAUUACCUUGGAAUCUACCUUGAAGACGGGAAUAAUCCGCCGAAAGGCGGACUAAUACCCGAUAGUCCCAGCACAUAUUUUUGGAAUUUAAAAAGGCGCUUAUCGCGCCCAGUAUUAAUCAAACGGAUAUGGAAAUUUUUUUGUGAUGAAUCCAUAGAUUAUUAUUCCUAUGGUCGGCAAUACAAAACCGAAACAAAUGGUGAUAAAAAGGUCGACAGAAAGGUCGGUUCCCAUAUUAUUCCUCCGUUUAUGAAAAAAGGUUCUUAUAGGAUAUUACCACCCCUGUUAUAAUAAGUCCAUUUUUUAAAUCCAAAAAUAUGUGCUGGGUAAAGGGCGCAAGCCGCUUCAAGAGGAGCCUCGGUCCUAUCAGCUAGUUGGUGAGGUAAUGGCUCACCAAGGCUAUGACGGGUAGGGGGGGUGAGAGCCUGAUCCCCAACGACGAAACUGAGAUACGGUUCGUACACCUACGGGUGGCUGCAGUCGAGAAUA